rnacentral:rRNA from 1 species
GACGAACGCUGGCGGCGUGCCUAAUACAUGCAAGUCGAACGCAUUUUCUUUCACCGUAGCUUGCUACACCGAAAGAAAAUGAGUGGCGAACGGGUGAGUAACACGUGGGUAACCUGCCCAUCAGCGGGGGAUAACACUUGGAAACAGGUGCUAAUACCGCAUAAUUCCAUUUCCCGCAUGGUAGAUGGGUGAAAGGCGCUUUUGCGUCACUGAUGGAUGGACCCGCGGUGCAUUAGCUAGUUGGUGGGGUAACGGCCUACCAAGGCUGCGAUGCAUAGCCGACCUGAGAGGGUGAUCGGCCACACUGGGACUGAGACACGGCCCAGACUCCUACGGGAGGCGGCAGUAGGGAAUCUUCGGCAAUGGACGCAAGUCUGACCGAGCAACGCCGCGUGAGUGAAGAAGGGUUUCGGAUCGUAAAACUCUGUUGUUAGAGAAGAACAAGGAUGAGAGUGGAAAGUUCAUCCCUUGACGGUAUCUAACCAGAAAGCCACGGCUAACUACGUG